ACUUGAGUAGUUUAAUGCAAAAUAUUGAUUUGUGGUGUCAAUGAUAUAAAGUUUAUCUUAAGUC
rnacentral:tRNA from 1 species